CGGAUAUUAACUUGCUAAUAUUGUCAGCUAAGUGGCGCACGGGUGAGUAAUAUAUAGUUAAUCUGCCCCAAAGAAGAGAAUAAUUGUUGGAAACGACUUGUAACGCUCUAUAUGCUUUUAUUACAUAAGUAAGCAAGGGAAACAUUUAUGGCUUUGGGAUGAGACUGUACGGUAUCAGCUAGUUGGUGAGGUAAUGGCUCACCAAGGCUAUGACAUCUAACUGGUUUGAGAGGAUGAUCAGUCACACUGGAACUGAGACACGGUCCAGACUCCUACGGGAGGCAGCAGUGGGGAAUAUUGCACAAUGGAGGAAACUCUGAUGCAGCAACGCCGCGUGGAGGAUGACACAUUUCGGUGCGUAAACUCCUUUUAUAUGAGAAGAUAAUGACGGUAUCAUAUGAAUAAGCACCGGCUAACUCCGUGCCAGCAGCCGCGGUAAUACGGGGGGUGCAAGCGUUACUCGGAAUCACUGGGCGUAAAGAGCAUGUAGGCUGGUUUGUAAGUUGGAAGUGAAAUCCUAUGGCUUAACCAUAGAACUGCUUCCAAAACUGCAGACCUAGAAUAUGGGAGAGGUAGAUGGAAUUUCUGGUGUAGAGGUAAAAUCCGUAGAGAUCAGAAGGAAUACCGAUUGCGA
rnacentral:rRNA from 1 species